GACGGGGGGUCCUAGCGUUGUUCGGAAUCAUUGGGCGUAAAGCGUGUGCAGGUGGUUCUGUAAGUUAGAUGUGAAAGCCUUGGGCUUAACCCAAGAAGUGCAUUUAAAACUACAAAACUUGAGUAUGGAAGAGGGUCGUGGAAUCCAGGUGUAGUGGUGAAAUACGUAGAUAUCUGGAGGAACACCGGUGGCGAAGGCGGCGACCUGGUCCUAUACUGACACUGAGAGACGAAAGCUAGGGGAGCGAAUGGG
rnacentral:rRNA from 1 species